GGGUGAGGCCCGAAGUAGGGCCUAAGGCGCAUGCUCACUAUCUGGCUGGAGCGAGCCUAGCUCAUUGCGCCUGCGUCCUGGCGUCUUCCUAAGCAAAGGCAGGUGAAUUAGCUUGUUGGCGUCCUUCCGCCGCCGUUGAGAAAGUUAAGGGCUUCGAAUUAAACUAGCAACCGCUCACCUAGUCCUUCCACAUUAUUAAUGGACAUGCCGGUGCUAGCUGUCCACCCACGGCGAUCCUCCUGCAUCAGCCUCCCACGUGCUAGGAUUACAAGCCAGCCUUGAGUCUUGAUUCUUCACAGGAUUAAAUGAGUACUGGCAAGUUUGGAGGAGGAGGAACAGUCCUGGACACCCUAGGGUAGAGAAGAAAGAAAGUGAGAAGGGCCAGGACUGGAGGCCAGCAUGGGCUUUGAUAUGCAACCACGGGAGAGCUGUGUGUUUCUUCUGCCAGAGGCAAGGAAAUGACAAGUCCUCUCGGACCCAUAUUUAACCUCCAAGAACCCUGCCGUCCUGCCUGAGGCAUGCCAAGACUGAACAGAGCAAAGAGCACCAGAAACCAACAGACUUUUCAGAUACCCUGGAAGGUACCUCAGCAGGCAGAUUACAGGAAAGCAAUGGGAACAAGCUGCCGAAGACCUGGUGCCAUCAGGACAGACCCUCGGCAUUUGGGUCAGAGGCCGGGGAUCUGUUCGUACACAUCAAAGGAUUUACUGAACAGUCGCAAGGCUGUGGUCUCAUACAGGGGAGGGGAGGUUUUUGGGUAAAGGUUACCCAAAGUCACUGGGCUCUGAACCUCCAACCUCUCCACGUCACUGAACCUCAAUUAGCCUGUAUAGUCUCCAAGCCUUUCCAGGGAUUUCCCUUCAAAGUCCCAAGAUCCCCAGUAGAUGCAGGAAGAGCAGUCAUUACUAAACACUCUAGAAUCCAUGUUUUGUUUUGCUGAACUAGGUGUGGUGGGAGGGGAAGGGAAGGAAAAGACGGGAGAGAGAAUGAAUAAAAGAAGUAGACAAAAACAAACGGAUGAGACCUUGAGCAUUUGGCUGAACAGAUUGUGGAUUCAUUUUUAUUUACACUUAUUUAAGGGAGAACAUGAAGGUGUCAGAGGACAACUCGAAGCCUUGUUUUCUUCCUGGGGAUUGAACUCGGGCUGCUGAUGAGUGCCUUUACCCUCUAAGCCACCACAUCAGCCUGAGCUAUAGAUUCUCAGGACCGCACUGGCAGCUGAGGAAAAAGCGAGAAGUUAAUAACCACUGAUUACACUCACCUUCUUAAAAAUUGUCCUCAGAGGCAGGGUGUUCUUUAAAUAGUGUGUCUUUUCUCUUCCCAUGAUCUCCUAGUCCUCAACCGAACCUUGGAUCUCCAGAAAUGUUAAAAACAAGUAGGGGGUGGGGGUGGGAUGGAAAGAUGGCUCAGCGGUUAAGAGCACUGGCUUGGUCUUCCAAAGGUCCUGAGUUCAAUUCCCAGCAACCACAUGGUGUCUCACAACCGAUCUAUAAUGGGAUCUGGUGCCCUCUCCUGGCCAGACAUAGUAUGCAUAAUAAAUCAAUCUUUAGGGGCUGGGGAUUUAGCUCAGUGGUAGAGCG
ensembl:lncRNA